AUGGGGAAACAGACUGAUACAUUCUGUUUAGUUUGUUCUUUCAGGAGUGGAGUCCAUGGACGACUAUGUCUGGAAUCAGCACCUUUGAAUUCCAGACAAUCCAAGAUCCAAGAUGUCAUCCGACACCUUAAAGACUCAGCUCGUUUGGACCAGACUUUAUUAUCCAGAUGGUCUGCAACUGGGUCCAGAUCUGAUGACUGGGAAGGCCGUGUCGUUUUCACACCCGGUGACCCCCUCCUCCUCCUCCUCCUCCUCCUCCCCCUCAUGCCUUGGAAGUGUCUGAUUUUCUUCUGUUUUUCACACAAUUAUUUUGAUUGUUUUUAAAGGCCCAUCUGUCUGUAUUGGGCCUUCAGGACAUUCGGAUUUCAGAGGUUUCUUCCCCGCACAUGAAUGCACCAUAUGCACCUUAUUAUUAUUGUCCCAUCUGGGGGAGGCUGAGGCACAUCAUCAAAGUGUCUGCCUUUGGUCCAAAUCCCCAAACAGGACCUCACAGGACACAGGAUAUGAUUUCCUGGUUUAUUAACAAUAUAAUUAGACUUCGGGGUGGGCAAGGCCAAACCAACAAACAAAGGGAAGUCUGACCAGUGGCCGAGCCAGACAAUUUUCAUCUCAUUCCAUUUUUCUUCUUUAAUUCAUAGUACUAUUAGAAGCUUCCAGUGCUUUUGUAGAUGUUCCUGGACAUCUGCUCUUUGGAGUUGAGCUCCUCUGUUCCCGUUCUUAAUUUCAUCUAACAGAUUUGAUUGCGUCACUGUUUGCAGAGGAAACUAGAAAAGCAUCUGCCCUUCCCCUGGUGGUGCGCGUUUUUUUUUGUUUCCACCUUCUUCUUUCUCAAUAACAAUUUUAUAGCAUUCAUAAAAAAAAAGAAGAAAAAAAAAUCAUUUUUAUUCCAAUGACAUUUUUGGGCAGCAUUCAGACAUAAAUCCAUCAGCUAGUUCAUAUAAAUGGUGUGAAGGGCUGCUGCCCCCAUUGCCAAAAAUUCCUCCUGGAUAGGUAUACAAUAAUUAGACAAAGUGAUCGUGUUCAGCCAGUUUUUAUCGUCUACACACAAGGUUAGCUAUUCAUACCAUGAAGCAGGGAGGAUUUGCAGACCCGACAGAGCAGGACCUGACCAAACCCAACGCCAAAAAACCUGCAGUCGCGUUAAAUCCCUGCAAUUUGCAUCAGAGAUAACUUUUUACAUAUUUGACUGCAUUGUACAAAGCUAACAGUACAAUUAACUAAUCUUCAUCUGUAAUGGAAACAGCAAAUCAGGCCAUAUUUGCACGGAAGCCAUAUUCCUCUGACAUAACACUGUGCUGCUGCAUUCCAGAUUGCUACUGUAAAAAAUGAGGGAAAUAUGACAAAUUGUUAUGAUUUCAUUGCUUCUUGAUUGAGGAAUAAGUGAAAAGACAGUGGAUGGUGAAAAUCUGGAGGGACAUUGGGACAUAUUUCAAGUAUUCACAGUUGCUAUGGCGCCGUACUAGGUGGCAGCCUGUAACAGCAGCUCCCGUGGGUUUUUAAGUUUUUUCGUAGUUUUUGUUGUAUUUCUGUACUGAUUUUCACAGAACUUUUGGCAACUCUUCUCCAGAGAGUGAGAGAAGACGAACACCUUUCUUUUUUUCUUUUUUUAAACUUUUACGGCACUUUUUUUGUGAUGGUUUUGCCAGCCCUAGCAACGGAGGGUCAGGAGCGCAUCACUGAGCGCAUUGUUUACACACGCGACCAGCUGAUUGCACUGUGUGAACCUGCACUGCUGCCCGGAACCAGGCCUGAGGUCCUGAAGGAGCUGCG
rnacentral:lncRNA from 1 species